UCUGAUGAGAGCUAGGCAGCAGCGG
rnacentral:piRNA from 1 species